UCCAGCAGCCGCGGUAAUACGUUCCCGGGUCUUGUACACACCGCCCGUCACACCACGAGAGUUUACAACACCCGAAGUCGGUGGGGUAACCCGCAAGGGAGCCAGCCGCCGAAGGUGGGGUAGAUGAUUGGGGUGAAGUCGUAACAAGGUAGCCGUAUCGGAAGGUGCGGCUGGAUCACCUCCUUUCUAAGGAAUAUCCCGAUCACGAUGAUGAUCGGAUAACAAGGCAGCUACGUAUUGCUCGCUCGUUGUCAGUUUUGAAGGAGCAAUCCUUCAACUUAAUAUCCGUUUGGUGAUGAUGGCGGAGGGGAACCACGCGUUCCCAUCUCGAACACGACCGUUAAGCCCUCCAGCGCCGAUGGUACUUGGACCGCAAGGUCCUGGGAGAGUAGGACGUUGCCAAGCGGAUGCCCCUAGUGGGUGUUCUUUUAUGAGUGCCGCAGCCGACGGCUGAAGGCGGAAUAAUCGAUGGCCUUUAGCUCGGCUGGUUAGAGCGCACCCCUGAUAAGGGUGAGGUCGGUGGUUCGAGUCCACUAAGGCCAACCAUCUCUUUAUAUCUUAUGGGGCCAUAGCUCAGCUGGGAGAGCGCCUGCCUUGCAAGCAGGAGGUCAGCGGUUCGAUCCCGCUUGGCUCCACCAAAAGCAUUUCAAUUUGCACCUUGAAAACUGGAUAGCGAAUGAACGAAACAUCUAAAGCUGAGUUCUUAUUAGAGCGAAGCUGCGAAGGAUGCUUACGAAGCUGCGUUGUCUGCUUAGGCAGGGAUGUGGUUUCGAGCGGAGAGCGC
rnacentral:misc_RNA from 1 species